UGGGGAAUAUUGGACAAUGGGCGAAAGCCUGAUCCAGCCAUGCCGCGUGUGUGAAGAAGGUCUUCGGAUUGUAAAGCACUUUAAGUUGGGAGGAAGGGCAGUAAGCGAAUACCUUGCUGUUUUGACGUUACCGACAGAAUAAGCACCGGCUAACUCUGUGCCAGCAGCCGCGGUAAUACAGAGGGUGCAAGCGUUAAUCGGAAUUACUGGGCGUAAAGCGCGCGUAGGUGGUUCGUUAAGUUGAAUGUGAAAGCCCCGGGCUCAACCUGGGAACUGCAUCCAAAACUGGCGAGCUAGAGUAUGGCAGAGGGUGGUGGAAUUUCCUGUGUAGCGGUGAAAUGCGUAGAUAUAGGAAGGAACACCAGUGGCGAGGGCGACCACCUGAGCUCAUACUGACACUGAGGUGCGAAAGCGUGGGGAGCAAACAGG
rnacentral:rRNA from 1 species